UAGUCAUGUCGGGGAGAAAGGGACGAUGGGUUACGUCAGUUUCCAAAUGAAGAUUUUGAGUUGGAACGUGAGGGGGCUGUGGUGUAAAGAUAAAAGAGUUCAAAUUCAUGAUGUCGGCAGGAGGGCAAGAGCAAGUGAUUGCUUUCCAAGAAACUAAAUCUCAAGCAAUGGACAAGAGAUUGCUAGACUCUCUGUGGGUGGUUAAAUUUAGGAUUGGAUGGCCCCUGACGCGUCUGGUUCUGUCGGUGGAGUGCUUAUGGCAUGGGAUGCUAGUAUUUAGGGCAUGGAUAUCUUUGUGUGUGUGUGUGUGUGGAGGUUGAAGAAGAAAAUUGGAAUCCUAAACCAUUCAGAUUUGAUCUUUCAUGGUUAGAGGUGGUGGGCUUCUCAAGUCUUGUUAAAGAAUAGUGGAAAAUUCCUUCUCCGUGGAAGGAUGCAUAGGUUUUAUUCUAAGUCAAAAGCUGAAGUUGUUAAAACGAAAAUUUCGGGAAUGGAAGAGGGAUGUGCUUGGAAAAAAGAGAAUUGGAGACGGAAGAGAUAUUGUGUAAAAUUCAAGAGUUAGAUGUAAUGGUGGAGUAGGGGGUCAUUUAAGAGGAAAAUAAAGGCCUUCAAAAUAAGCUAAGGGUGGAUUACUCUAGCCACCUAAUGGAGGAAGAGAUUAAGAGGAAGCAGUUGUCUCAAGCCACGUGGCUUUGAGGGGGAUAAAAAUACUUAGUUUUUCCACUAUAUAGCAACUGCUCUCGCCAAAUGUAACAAGAUUAGUAGCAUUGAGGUGGAUAGGGUUUAGGUGGAGGAUAAGGAAAAGGUGUGGGAAAAGUGGUUGAAUACUUUAAAAAUUUGUUGUCAAAUGAGGGAUGGUUAAGAAUGAAGUUAGACGAUAUGUCUUUUCUGAGCAUUCCCAUUGAUGUUUCAAUGGUGCUUGAGAAGCUGUUUUUGGAGUCGGAAAUCAAGACGGCAGUGGAGUAUCUGGGGAGGGAUAAAGACCCGAGUCAGGAUGGGUUCUCUGUCUUUCUUUCAAAUUUUUUUUUUUUUGGGAGGUCAUAAAGGACAUCUUGUUGUUUUUUGAGGAGUUGCAUGACAAAAACCAUACAAAUUGCAAUCUAUGGCUCAAAUUCUACAGUUUAGGUAGUGGGACCCACAUUAGAUGGUUUAUGAAAACAAUGGCCCUUUCUGGAAUUGUGUUCUAACUAGCUGAUUUAGUGAUAUUUAAUGGCAGUCAUGCUUGUUAUUUUAUACAUGUAGUUUCAUCAUUUACCAAAAACAACCAUUUAAACUAACAAACAUUAAAGAAAUUUGAUGGAAGGUACCUGAAUGAAGGGGGAAAAAAAAAAACUAAAUAUUAAGUACCUCAUUGCAAAGUCAAUUAAAAAAAUACCCAGAUUGUGAAACCCAAUUAGUGAGGUACUAACCUAUAAAAAUCCCUAGAACUUUUAUACAUUCAAGUAAACAUACAGUGCUUGAUCAAGCAGUUGCUGAGGCCAACAAACUCUACACAUGCUAAGUUGCUAACUGCUGAUUAGAGCCCAUUAAAUGUGGAGCAUUGAUUGAAUUGCUGAUUUAGAUUGGAUGGCUCGGGUCACCUUAUAGGAGAGAUAUUGGGGCAUGGCCCAUUCCAUUGGGGCCCAACAGAUCAACAACUUAUAUUACCAGAAGGUGCGCUCUGCUGUACCAUUGCUGAACAGAAGGGAAAAAAAAAACUCACACAAUUCGAUUGCCAUCCAUCAGGUGGACCUCACCAGGUGUUACUGUUCAAUGAUAAAAGGUUGUCCAUUCAGUAGAUGUGCCAUGAUGUUAGAAGUUGACAGGUUAGAAAACUUCUGCCAAAUUUUUACUGCCAUGCAUUUGUUCAAUUAAUUGUGGCCCACUUGAUUAGUGGACCGACAUGAAUAUUGGGAUAGGUACUGUGUGGUGGUACUGUUCAAUGAUAUCCAAGCCAUCCAUCAGGUGCACCUCACCAGGUGUUACUGUUCAAUGAU